rnacentral:rRNA from 1 species
GACGAACGCUGGCGGCGUGCUUAACACAUGCAAGUCGAACGAAGAGCGAUGGAAGCUUGCUUCUAUCAAUCUUAGUGGCGAACGGGUGAGUAACGCGUAAUCAACCUUCCCUUCAGAGGGGGACAACAGUUGGAAACGACUGCUAAUACCGCAUACGAUCUAACCUCGGCAUCGAGGAAAGAUGAAAGGUGGCCUCUAUUUAUAAGCUAUCACUGAAGGAGGGGAUUGCGUCUGAUUAGCUAGUUGGAGGGGUAACGGCCCACCAAGGCGAUGAUCAGUAGCCGGUCUGAGAGGAUGAACGGCCACAUUGGGACUGAGACACGGCCCAGACUCCUACGGGAGGCAGCAGUGGGGAAUCUUCCGCAAUGGACGAAAGUCUGACGGAGCAACGCCGCGUGAGUGAUGACGGCCUUCGGGUUGUAAAGCUCUGUUAAUCGGGACGAAAGGCCUUCUUGCGAACAGUUAGAAGGAUUGACGUACCGGAA